rnacentral:rRNA from 1 species
UGGGGAAUUUUUCGCAAUGGGGGAAACCCUGACGAAGCAACGCCGCGUGGAGGAUGAAGGCCUUCGGGUCGUAAACUCCUGUCGACCGGGACGAACGUAGUCGGGUCCAAUACACCCGGCUAUCGACUGUACCGGUGGAGGAAGCCCCGGCUAACUCUGUGCCAGCAGCCGCGGUAAUACAGAGGUGGCAAGCGUUGUUCGGAAUUACUGGGCGUAAAGGGCGCGUAGGCGGUUCGUUAAGUCCUGUGUGAAAUCCCCCGGCUCAACUGGGGAACUGCACAGGAAACUAGCGGGCUUGAGUUCGGGAGAGGGAAGCGGAAUUCCGGGUGUAGCGGUGAAAUGCGUAGAUAUCCGGAGGAACACCGGUGGCGAAGGCGGCUUCCUGGACCGACACUGACGCUGAGGCGCGAAAGCUAGGGGAGCAAAC